AUCUAGCUGAAGAGUCCCAAAUAGGAUGAAACGCACGUACUGAAU
rfam:Schistosoma mattheei strain Denwood, Zambia genome assembly, scaffold: SMTD_scaffold0020929